rnacentral:rRNA from 1 species
GACGUAGGAUGCAAGCGUUGUCCGGAUUUAUUGGGCGUAAAGAGUUCGUAGGUGGUUUGUUAAGUCUGAUGUUAAAGACUGGGGCUCAACCUCGGAAAUGCAUUGGAUACUGGCAGACUUGAGUGUGGUAGAGGCAAUCGGAAUUCCAGGUGUAGCGGUGAAAUGCGUAGAUAUCGAGAGGAACACCUGAGGUGAAGACGGGUUGCUGGGCCGACACUGACGCUGAGUGCGCGAAAGCCAGGGGAGCAAACGGG